rnacentral:sRNA from 1 species
UUUGCAUUUUGCGGUCGUCUUUUUCGGAAAUACGCGACGUAGUUGUCAUCGGUCGCUGGUCGUCGUGGGCGCAAAAAAAAAAAAAAGAAACCAAAAUUGUGCUGCGUUGCGUUCUUCAAAAUUAGCUUAAAGCUUUAAGUGAUAUUCACAUUAGAGCAACAACAAAUAGAAACAAGCUGUGAAAAUCGAAAAAGUGUUGGUGUGUGUCGAGAGUAAGAUAGAGAGGGCGUGAGAUACACACAUCCAAAAAAAAAAAAAAAAGGAGGAACACA